rnacentral:rRNA from 1 species
GUCCACGCCCUAAACGAUGCUUACUCGACGUAUGGCACUAGUUGUUGUGCGUCCAAGGGAAACCGUUAAGUAAGCCACCUGGGGAGUACGACCGCAAGGUUGAAACUCAAAGGAAUUGACGGGGUCGGCACAAGACGGUGGAGGCAUGUGGUUUAAGUUUACGUAUGAUAACGCCGAGGAACCGUUAACCCUUCGGGCGUAGAAUAGCGAGUGACGUCCCGGGAAACCCGGGAAGUUCCUUCCGGGGUCGACAAAGACAAGGUAGGCUGCAUGGCGUGUCGU